UACAGAGGUCCCGAGCGUUGUUCGGAUUCACUGGGCGUAAAGGGUGCGUAGGUGGUGAGGUAAGUCGGAUGUGAAAUCUCGGAGCUUAACUCCGAAAUGGCAUUGGAAACUACCUCGCUCGAGGGGUUGGAGGGGGGACUGGAAUGCUUGGUGUAGCAGUGAAAUGCGUAGAUAUCAAGCGGAACACCAGUGGCGAAGGCGAGUCCCUGGACAACUCCUGACACUGAGGCACGAAAGCUAGGGGAGCAAACAGG
rnacentral:rRNA from 1 species